rnacentral:rRNA from 1 species
AGAUAGUGACAAUAAAUAACAAUAUAGGGCUCUUUUGGGUCUUAUAAUUGGAAUGAGUACAAUUUAAAUCCCUUAACGAGGAUCAAUUGGAGGGCAAGUCUGGUGCCAGCAGCCGCGGUAAUUCCAGCUCCAAUAGCGUAUAUUAAAGUUGUUGCCGUUAAAAAGCUCGUAGUCGAACUUCGGCCUUUGCCGCCCGGUCCGCCUUUUUGGGUGUGUACUGGAGUGGUGGAGGCUUACCUCGUGGUGAACGGUCAUGCCCUUUACUGGGUGUGGUCGGGAACCAUGAUUUUUACUUUGAAAAAAUUAGAGUGUUCAAAGCAGGCUUACGCCCGAAUACAUUAGCAUGGAAUAAUAAAAUAGGACGUGCGGUUCUAUUUUGUUGGUUUCUAGGAUCGCCGUAAUGAUUAAUAGGGAUAGUUGGGGGCAUUCGUAUUCAAUUGCUAGAGGUGAAAUUCUUGGAUUUAUUGAAGACGAACUACUGCGAAAGCAUUUGCCAAGGAUGUUUUCAUUGAUCAAGAACGAAGGUUAGGGGAUCGAAAACGAUCAGAUACCGUUGUAGUCUUAACAGUAAACGAUGCCGACUAGGGAUCGGACGAGGAUUUUUUAUGACUCGUUCGGCACCUGAAGAGAAAUCUUUAAGUCUAGGUUCGGGGGGGAGUAUGGUCGCAAGGCUGAAACUUAAAGGAAUUGACGGAAGGGCACCACAAUGGUGUGGAGCCUGCGGCUUAAUUUGACUCAACACGGGGAAACUCACCAGGUCCAGACACGACAAGGAUUGACAGAUUGAUAGCUCUUUCUUGAUUUCGUGGUUGGUGGUGCAUGGCCGUUCUUAGUUGGUGGAGUGAUUUGUCUGGUUAAUUCCGAUAACGAACGAGACCUUAACCUGCUAAAUAGCCCGGCCGGCUUUGGCUGGUCGCUGGCUUCUUAGA